rnacentral:lncRNA from 7 species
UGAAGCAUAUCUUCCAAAUUUCCAAGCUCACAUUAAUUGAUGCCACUAUGAAUUUGAGGGUGUUUGCCAGAGUUUUUGCACCCUUGCACAGAACAAUUGGAUUCUUCCACCCUUCUAGCAGGAGCCACAAAAAGACUGAAGCAACAGCAAGAGAAGUCUGAACUGUCCCACUUAGCCAUAUAGACUGUGUGCCAGCAUUAUGGAGUUCUACAUGACUUAUUGUGUUCUCUUAAGUUGAUGCUGAGAGCAGACAUAGCCUGCAAUAAAAGGAGGAAUACCUGGAAAGCCCUUUCAUCCUUGGGCUGAAGAUGCUUUGAAAGAGCAGUGGUGGUAUGGUGCAGAGAUGCUAUCAUUCCUGUGCUCCUGAGGCAUGUCCCUUUGGGUGAAGGAUGAAGAUGAUUUGUUGAGGCAUUCUAUGGAAGCCUGUGCUGCCACAGCCUGUGCUACACUUGUUUUCUGAGGUAAACAGGAAACCUCAGACCUCAGUAACGUCAAUUCUGAACUUCUCACAAGGGCUAAAUUCUGUCUGAAAGGAAAAGAGCAGCAGGAAUGAUCUCUGUGUUUAGUUAUCUCAUCUCUUGUCUUACAUCAUCCUCUCAUGAGCGUGCCAGAAGGCCAAAAGGAGAGCUCUGAUUGUCUUGUAUCACCAGCAUAAUGGGUUUUUAGUUGUUGAUACCAUGUGUGGGAGACAGUAAGCUGCAUUCCUGUUUUACCUAAUUCAGAGCG